rnacentral:tRNA from 1 species
GCCGGUAGGGCUGCUUUAGCAGGUUGCUGUGAUAUAGCAAGGGUAAGAUUUUUUCUUCGUCGGUA